UACAGAGGGGGCAAGCGUUGUUCGGAAUUACUGGGCGUAAAGGGCGCGUAGGCGGCCUGCUAAGUCGAACGUGAAAUCCCUGGGCUCAACCCAGGAACUGCGUCCGAUACUGGUUGGCUUGAAUCCGGGAGAGGGAUGUGGAAUUCCAGGUGUAGCGGUGAAAUGCGUAGAUAUCUGGAGGAACACCGGUGGCGAAGGCAGCAUCCUGGACCGGUAUUGACGCUGAGGCGCGAAAGCCAGGGGAGCAAACGGG
rnacentral:rRNA from 1 species